rnacentral:lncRNA from 1 species
CCAAGAUCCUUCAUCUUGAAUGUGAAAGAUAAAAACCUCUUUGUUUCUUUUAUACCAUCCAUGUGAUUACUUAUAAUCAACAUAUUGUCAAUAGCAUAUAAAUGUCACGUAAUCAUCACAUAUUUUAAAAUAUAAACAUCUAUCUACGCUAUAAUAUUUAAAUCUGAAUGAUAUUAUUGUUAAGUCAAACUUCUUAUGCCAUUUUUUAGGUGCUUGCUUCAAACCAUACAAUGAUUUUACUAACUUGCAUGCCUUAUGUUCAUUUCCAGUUAGAACGAACCCUUCCAGUUGCUCCAUAUAAACCUCUUCAUUAAGAUCCCCAUUUAAGAAUGACGUCUUGACAUCCAUUUGAUGAACAUGCAAGUCAUAUAUUGAAGCCAAAGCGAAUAAUAUCCUAAUUGAUGUUAUUCUAGCUACCGGUGUAUAAGUGUCAAAAUAGUUGAUUCCUUCCUUUUGUCGAUAUCCUUUGACUACUAAUCUAAUCUUGAAGGUAUUUAGAGAACCAUCAACAUUAUAUUUCCUCCUAAAUACCCAUCUACAUCCAAUAGGUUUGGAUCCUGGUAGUAAAUCAACAAGUUUCCCAGUUUUAUUAGACAUUAUCGAAUCCAUUUCAUUUUUGAUUGUAUCUUUCCAGAAAAUGCUAUCACGAGAAGCCAUAAUUUCUUUAUAUGUUUUAGGGUUGAUUUUCACUUGUAGAAUAAAAGAAUUGUUCUUACAACAUUCAACUCAUUUGCUUCUACUAAGUAAAGUGAUAUAAGUUGAGAAUCAAUUUCAUCCGGUCCCAAAGAUUUCUCAACUCAAGUUCUCUUGCUUUUUCGUGGUUCACUAGACUCAUCAAUAUUUUUAGAAGACAUUUCAUCACGUGUUCUAUUUGAGUUAGGGAUAUUUUUAAUAUUUUCCCUCAAUUCAUUAUCCGAUAAUAAUAAAUUUUCAAAAAACUCUACAUCACUUGAUUCGAUAAUCACACUGAUCUCCAAGUUUAGGAAUCUAUAAGAUUUGCUAUUAUUAGCAUAUCCAACAAAAGCGCAUUUAAUGCCUUUUGGACCCAAUUUGGUCAUAUUAGGAUUUAUGUUCUUGCAAUAAGCAAGACAUCCCCACACAUCGAAGUAUCCAAUGUUCAGUUUUCUUCCUUUUCAUAAUUCAUAAGGAGAAACAUUUGUAUGUUUAGAAGAAAUUCUAUUAAGUAUCUUACAUACACUUAAUAGAGCUUUACCCCAUAAAUUAAACGGUAACUUAGCAUAUAUAAGCAUGACAUUAAUCAUUUGUACUAAGGUUCUAUUCUUUCUUCCAGCCAAAUCGUUUUGUUUGAGUGUCCUAGGUGCAGAACAUUGGUGAAUUAUGCCAUGUUGUUCACAAUAUAAAUUAAAUUCACUAGAAAACUAUUCACCACCACUAUCACUUCUUAGUGUCUUUAUUUUUUUUUAUUUAAGUGAUUUUCAACUUCAUUCUUAUAAGUCUUAAACAAAUCAAAGGCCUCAUGUUUAUGUUUCAUUAAGUAAACUUAGGUAUAUCUUGAGCAAUUAUCAAUAAAUGUUAUGAAAUAUCUAUUUCCACCUCUUCUUAGUAUGUCAUUCAAUUCAC